AUGGCAUUACUUUUAUUUAAACGACGCGUUAAGGACCAGGGACAGGAAUGCUGGGUAAUAAACACAGGAGAGGAGGAGGAGGGGAGGAAUGCAGAUGAGGGUGGGGGGACGAAAAUUGCUUUUGCUAGUUUGUAUAUCUUAAGACAUAAAUACUCAUCGCAAAAUAUGUCACAUUUUACCCCAAAAUAAUAAAAAUAACUGUAAGCCUAUUUUUAGGGCAGUACUUAUUUUCUUAUUCGUUUCUUUUUUUUUUUUUUUUGUUUUACCUAUGUAAAAACUCUUAAUGGAUUAAUAUUCUUUUGGCAAAAUAAAUUUAUUUUUCAAUUUUGAGCUGAAACACAUGGAAGCCGAUUCUGCGAUGGAUUUUUAAAAAAUUUUUAAUGCUAAUUUUUAUCUAUAAGUUUACAUCUCACAGUUCAGACUUUUUUGUACAAAUUAUUAAAUUCUGAGUUUAUACAUUGCAAUUCUGCCUUUUUUAUUUAUUUAUUUUUGUUUAUAUAUUGAAAUUUUGACACUUGAAAUCUUAGAGUCCUGACUUUUUCUUUUUUUUUUUCGAAGAAUUGCUCACAAUUCAACGAGUUUACAUUAAAAACAGUUCUCCCUCUUUUCUUGCAUCCGUUUUUUUUUUUUUUUUGCAAGGAAAUUGAAACAGGAAAAAAAGGAAUUGCAAGGAAAAAAGUUGAAAAUACCGUUUUAUUUGUUUUGUUCUGUGGCGGAAAUGGGCUUCCAUAGAAACUUGACCCUGGCAGGUUCUUGGCAGGUUAUUCACCGUAGAUUUCUGUUAAAAAGUGUAAUGGAAACUAAAAUAAUUUGCACUUUGUGAAUUUGACUUCUAAACAAAUCAUAUUAACACUAUUUUUUUUUAAAUAAUGAAUUGUUCUGCUCUUUGCUGGCUCUUUCUGUUUUAAAGUGUCUUGUUUAGGUCUUGAGCAUAAAGGCAUUGCAGAACAUGGUGUUGUUACAACUAGUUCCAGAUUUGUGGUAUUGGGAACAAAAUUAGGUCAUGGGAACAAAUGUAGUGCCUGUUUUUAGUCCGAAUGAUGUUGUACAUUUGUUUCAACCCCAUUUGCAUUAUGUUGUGUUAGACUUGUGAUCUGAUAACACAUUUUUUCAGAUUUAUUGGGCCUUAAGUCAGCUGAUAGCUCCACUGCACAGUGUUUGUUUCCAUGUGCAGAUGACAUGCAGAAAUAAUAAUUAAAACAAUCAUUACUUUUUAUUUAAUUACCAGUCAACAUCUCAAAAAUAGCAGUUCUUGACGGGACAGGACAAAUAAUAAAAAAUAAACUGUAAGCCUAUUUUUAGGGUCAUUUAUGUUUGGAUUUGUGACUUUCACUUUAUUAUCAAAUUCUCAUUAGCGUCAUGUGUCCAGACAUUUUGCCUUUUUUUUUUUUUUUUUUUUUGUUACCAUGUAAAAACUCUUAAUGGAUUAAUAUUCUUUUGGCAAAAUAAAUUUAUUUUUCAAUUUUGAGCUGAAACACAUGGAAGCCGAUUCUGCGAUGGAUUUUUAAAAAAUUUUUAAUGCUAAUUUUUAUCUAUAAGUUUACAUCUCACAGUUCAGACUUUUUGUACAACUGAGUCGGAGAUUUGACACUUGAAAUCUUAGAGUCCUGACUUUUUCUUUUUUUUUUUCGAAGAAUUGCUCACUAAUUCAACGAGUUUACAUUAAAACAGUUCUCCUUCUUUUCUUGCAUCCGUUUUUUUUUUUUUUUUUUGUCAAGGAAAUUGAAACAGGAAAAAAGGAAUUGCAAGGAAAAAGUUGAAAAUACCGUUUAUUUGUUUUGUUCUGUGGCGGAAAUGGGCUUCCAUAGAAACUUGACCCUGGCAGGUUCUUGGCAGGUUAUUCACCGUAGAUUUCUGUUAAAAAGUGUAAUGGAAACUAAAAUAAUUUGCACUUUGUGAAUUUGACUUCUAAACAAAUCAUAUUAACACUAUUUUUUUUAAAUAAUGAAUUGUUCUGCUCUUUGCUGGCUCUUUCUAGUUUUAAGUGUCUUGUUUAGGUCUUGAGCAUAAAGGCAUUGCAGAACAUGGUGUUGUUACAACUAGUUCCAGAUUUGUGGUAUUGGGAACAAAAUUAGGUCAUGGGAACAAAUGUAGUGCCCGUUUUUAGUCCGAAUGAUGUUGUACAUUUGUUUCAACCCAUUUGCAUUAUGUUGUGUUAGACUUGUGAUCUGAUAACACAUUUUUCUAGAUUAUUGGGCCUUAAGUCAGCUGAUAGCUCCACUGCACAGUGUUUGUUUCCAUGUGCAGAUGACAUGCAGAAAUAAUAAUUAAAACAUCAUUACUUUUUAUUAAUACCAGUCAACAUCUCAAAAAAUGCAGUUCUGACGGGACAGGACAAAUGAUGCUCAGCUUUUAUAUUAACAUUUAUUGGAAUAUUUUAUUUUUUUUGACCCAUUUGAUGUGGGCAGGAUGUCAGUUAUCACACCUGACCUCACUGCUCUGAUUUUCCCAUAAUACCACUUUUGACUAUAUACAGACGCCUUUGCUACUGCUACAACAUGAUUACAUGACAAAUGGAAAUACUAAAAGGACAAAAAAUAACCAGAACCCAAACCUCAGGUGAACUCUAGCAUGUACCGAGGCCUGUUCUUUUAGGUUGAUGUAGAAACUGUCUGUUGUAGAAACUGUCUGUGACGGGUGUUUAUAUAAAGGGAAGGGAGGUUCUUACAUAACUCGAAGAUGAUCCUCUCUUUUAUCAUGUGUAAUUCAUAUCAGGCUGAAUAAAAAACAAAAUGUUUAUGUAUGAACUGUUGCACUUAUUUGGAUGUUGAUUUUGUGUUUUGUAGCUAAAUACAUUUAUUUAAAAAUGUAUUGAUUUAUUAAUGUGUAUUAUCAAUUCCUAAAGUUAUUUCUCUUCAGUUUUAAUUAUUUUGUUAUUUCUCCAUUUGUUUAACAAAUCUAUGUACUGCGUUUUAUUAACUACAACACUAUAGUUUCGAUAUACAUGAAAAUUAACGCUUGAAUAUUAUUUUAAAUUAUUAAAGUACAAAUACUUUCAUUUAAUUAACACAAUUAUAUUCAUUUUAAUAGUGCUUUUUGGGGAAAAUCUUAAAUCAACUUAAUAUAAUUCAAAAUUAUUAAUUAAACCUAAGCUAAAAUCAAAUCAAAUUCACAACUAUGUUAAAUAAAAGACUCAUCUAACUUACAACAACGACAAACCGUGGUUCACUGCAAAACUCAGACA
rnacentral:lncRNA from 1 species